rnacentral:tRNA from 1 species
GCGGGAAUAGCUCAGUUGGUAGAGCAUCACCUUGCCAAGGUGAGGGUCGCGAGUUCGAAUCUCGUUUCCCGCU